AUACGGAGGGUGCAAGCGUUGUUCGGAAUCACUGGGCGUAAAGGGCGCGCAGGCGGUUUGAUUAGUCAGAUGUGAAAGCCCACGGCUUAACCGUGGAAGUGCAUUUGAAACUGUCAGACUUGAGUAUCAGAGGGGAAAGUGGAAUUCCCGGUGUAGAGGUGAAAUUCGUAGAUAUCGGGAGGAAUACCGGUGGCGAAGGCGACUUUCUGGCUGAAUACUGACGCUGAGGCGCGAAAGCGUGGGGAGCAAACAGGAUUAGAAACCCGAGUAGUCC
rnacentral:rRNA from 1 species